CACGUAGGGGGCAAGCGUUGUCCGGAUUUAUUGGGCGUAAAGAGCUCGUAGGUGGCUGAGUAAGUCGGAUGUUAAAUCCCCAGGCUCAACCUGGGACACCACCCGAUACUGCUCUGGCUAGAGUCCGGUAGGGGAGCGUGGAAUUCCUGGUGUAGCGGUGAAAUGCGCAGAUAUCAGGAGGAACACCAGCGGCGAAGGCGGCGCUCUGGGCCGGAACUGACACUGAGGAGCGAAAGCUAGGGUAGCAAACGGG
rnacentral:rRNA from 1 species